GCCGAUAAUGGAUGCCUUGGAGGCUUUGGCCGAGGAAGGACGUAUAUGACGGCGAUACUCGUCGGGGAGGUGUCAUAAACCUUCGAUCCGGCGGUUUCCGAAUGGGGGAACCCCCCCCGCCUUUGGCGGGGAGCCAAAUAUGAAGUUAUAGCCGUAAGGCUGUAUAUUAGUGUUUGGCUGGGCACGGUGUGAACUGAAACAUCUAAGUAACACCAGGAAAAUAAAUCAAAUGAGAUUCCCUAAGUAGCGGCGAGCGAAAUGGGAAUAGUCUAAACUUCGGAGCAAUCCGGAGGGUUGCAGGGCAGACAAUAUUCGAUGUAUUUUUUGUAGCAGAAGAACCCGGAAUGGUUCUCCAAAGAGAGUGAAAGGCUCGUAUGCGAAACAAAAGAUACCGAUAGUUUGUACCUAAGUACCAUGGGGUACGGUGAAACCCUGUGGGAAUCUGGGACGUCCACGUUCCAAGACUAAAUACCAAAGUCUACCGAUAGUGAACUAGUACCGUGAGGGAAAGGUGAAAAGCACCCCGGAAGGGGAAUGAAAUAGAUCUGAAAUUGUCGGCUAACAAGCAGAGAAAGCUUGUCCUUUGGACAAGGCUAAAUUUCUAAUUUCUAAUUUCUAAUUUCUAAACAAAUUCCAAUUUUGAAAAAUCCAAAAGUUUAGAUCAAUUAGUAAUUAGUUCAAUUAGGUUAAUUUAUCCUCGCCCAGAGGGCGAGUGAUCUCGUGCCUAUUGAAGAAUGAACCGGUGAGUUAUUGAUUGCAGCAUAGUUUAACCAAGUAAGACUUGGGAAGACGUAGUGAAAGCAUGGCCUAAUUGGCCGAUUAGUUGCAGUCAGUAGACCCGAAACCGGGUGAGCUAACCUUGGGCAGGGUGAACCCCAUCGAAAGUUGGGGGGAGGCCCGAACCCGUAUCUGUAGCAAUAGGUUGGGAUGACCUGAGGUUAGGGGCAAUAUGCCUAACGAACCCGGAGAUAGCUGGUUCUCCCCGAAAUAUAUCUAGGUAUAGCGGGAUAUUACAUCAACCUGGGGGUAGAGCACUGAAUGGCCUUCGGCGGGGCAACCUGUCGAGUCCAAUCAAACUCCGAAUACCAGAAAUUGUUGAUAUCCUAGUCAGACUGUUCGGGCUAAGCUGAUCAGUCGAAAGGGAAACAGCCCAGACUCUCAUCUAAGGUCUCUAAAUAAAGACUAAGUUUUGAAGGAAGUCAAGUUCCAUAGACAACCAGGAGGUUGGCUUAGAAGCAGCCAUCCUUUAAAGAUAGCGUAACAGCUCACUGGAGGAUGGUACUUGGCGCCGAAAAUUUAUCGAGGAUUAAGUCUUUUACCGAAGAUAGAGAUCCCCGCCUUUGGCGGGGGUGGUAGGGGAGCGUUCUGUUUGUAGCGAAGCUGUGCUGUAAGGCAUGGUGGAACGGACAGAAGUGAGAAUGCCGGUAUGAGUAGCGAAAUGCCGAUGAGAAGUCGGCACGCCGAAUACCCAAGGUUUCCUCCGCAAUGUAAGUCAGCGGAGGGUUAGUCGGCCCUAAGGGUGUCCCGUGAAUAAUUGCGGGGUAGCCCGAUGGACAAGUCGUUGAAAUUCGACUACAUGGGGAAAUGCGUUAUUACUCAAGGAUCGACCGGACUGGAAAAAAGAUGCCCUGCCUCGGCGGGGUCUAAGCCAUAAAGCAGUUUUGAUUGGUAAAUCCGUCUAAACGUUUUAACUGAGUGGCGAUGGUGAAGAUUCUAGAUUCUAGAAUUUAAGAUUUUCUUUUUCAGUUUGCAAGAAAUGAUUCGUGAGGAGUGUUUUUCUAUGCCGUACCGCAAACCGACACAGGUGGGUUGGUCGAGAAGACUAAGGCGAUCGGGAGAAGGAUGGUCAAGGAACUCGGCAAAAAAGCUGGGCGUAACCUUUGGGAGAUGCCCUGCCCGGUUAAUCCGGGCUACAACAAAAGAUUGCUUAGCGACUGUUUAUCUAAAACACAGGCCUCUGCAAAACCGAAAGGUAAAGUAUAGGGGCUGACGCCUGCCCAGUGCUGGCAAGUCAAAUAUCGAGAAUGAAGUUCGCAAGAAUCAGUUUUUGAUAUAAGCUCCAGUAAACGGCAGCAGUAACUAUAACUGUUCUAUGGUAGCGAAGUUCCUUGUCGGGCGAGUUCCGACCCGCACGAAAGGCAGAACGACUGAGCAACUGUCUUGAUCAUCUACCCGGCGAAAUUGAGAUGGCCGUGAAGACGCGGCCUAGUUGUCCUUAGCCCCCUCUUUCUGUGUUUGAGUCUAGACUAAUAAUCUUUGGUUCGAACCUAGAAAGAGGGGGCAUAAGUGAAAUACCUCUCUUUGAAUUGAGUAAUCAUCACCUCUUUGCCGCAUAAAAAUCCGGCAGAGGGACAGUGUCUGGUGGGCAGUUUAACUGGGGAGGUUGACUCCUAAAGAGCAACGGAGUUGCACAAAGGUUGGCUAUCCGCCGAAAGAAAUGGCGGAGAUAGUGUAAAGGCAUAAGCCAGCUUGACUGCGAGACCUACAAGUCGAGCAGAUGCGAAAGCAGGUCUUAGUGAUCCUCCGUAGCGUAGUGGUACGCUCGGAGCUUAACGGAUAAAAGCUACCCCGGGGAUAACAGGCUGAUCGCAUCCAAGCGUCCACAGCGACGAUGCGGUUUGGCACCUCGAUGUCGGCUCAUCCUAUCCUGGGGCUGAAGAAGGUCCCAAGGGUCGGGCUGUUCGCCCGUUAAAAGGGUACGCGAGCUGGGUUAAGAACGUCGUGAGACAGUUCGGACUCUAUCCAGGACAACCGUUUGAGAUUUGAGGAGAUCCGUUCCUAGUACGAGAGGACUGGAAUGGGGGAAUCCCUGGUGUGCCAGUUGUUCCUUAUAAGGGCAGCGCUGGGUAGCUAUAUUCCCAACUGAUAACCGCUGAAAGCAUCUAAGUGGGAAGCAGCCUCCAAGAUAAGAUCUCGUUUUUCCCGCCCUCGGGUGGGAUUAGACCCCUUGUAGACUACAAGGUUGAUAGGCGGGCGGUGGAAGUGCCGUAAGGUAUUGAGCCUACCCGUACUAAUGGUCGAGAG
rnacentral:rRNA from 1 species